CAUUCGACGCUGCUGGCUUACGUGG
rnacentral:miRNA from 15 species